rnacentral:lncRNA from 1 species
GGGGCUAGGUGGGGGAACGUGUGCAAGGGCUAGCGGCCUUGCUAGGGGGUUGCUCUAGGGGGGCUUGCGGGUCCUUUGAGGGCUUUAGGGUUCAGGGUUUUGGGUUUAGAGUUUAAGGUUUAGGGUUUAGGGGUUACGGCUUAUGGUUUAGACGUUAGGGCUUAGGAUUUCGGCUUUAGCGUUUAGCGUAUAGGGUUUAGGGUUUAGGGUUUAAGGUUUAGGUUUUAGCGUUUCGGGUUUAGCAUUUAGGGUUUAGGGUUUAGGAUUUAGGAUUUAAGGAUUAGGGUGCAGUGUUUCGGGUUUAUGGUUUAGGAUUUAGGGUUUAGGAUUUAGGAUUUAGGGUGUAGGGUUUAGGGUUUAGGGNNN